GCCAGAUCAACGCACAACAAAUAAACAAGAUAGAAGAACUGUGGAAGACGAAUCCUGAUGCUUCCCUUGAGGAUCUUGAGAAGCCUGGUGUGGAUGAUGAGCCUCAACCUGUAGCACUGAAGUAUGAAGAUGCAUAUCAGUAUCAAAAUGUAUUUGCUCCGCUCAUCAAGCUUGAAGCUGAUUAUGACAAAAUGAUGAAAGAAUCCCAGAGCAAGGACAAUGUCACUAUCUGAUGGGAUAUUGGUCUGAACAAGAAGCGCAUUUCAUAUUUUAUUUUCCCAAAGGAAGACAAUGAGUUGAGACUAAUGCCUGAUGAUGAGUUGAGGCUCCGUUAUUCAGGAGAUGCUGCUCAUCCAGCAUGGCAAUCUGUGGGGCAUGUGAUUAAGCUAACCGCACAAGAAGAGGUUGC